rnacentral:rRNA from 1 species
AGGUCUUGACAUACCAUUGACAGGCGCAGAGAUGUGCUCUCCUUCGGGCAAUGGAUACAGGUGGUGCAUGGUUGUCGUCAGCUCGUGCCGUGAGGUGUUGGGUUAAGUCCCGCAACGAGCGCAACCCUCAUUGUUAGUUACUACCAUUCAGUUGAGGACUCUAAUGAGACUGCCAACGAUAAGUUGGAGGAAGGUGGGGAUGACGUCAAAUCAUCAUGCCCUUUAUGACCUGGGCUACAAACGUACUACAAUGGCCAAUACAAAGAGAUGCGAAGCGGUGACGUGGAGCGAACCUCAGAAAGUUGGUCUCAGUUCAGAUUGAAGUCUGCAACUCGACUUCAUGAAGGCGGAAUCGCUAGUAAUCGCGGGUCAGCAGACCGCGGUGAAUACGUUCCCGGGUUU